rnacentral:tRNA from 1 species
GGCUUAGAUACUUUGCCAAGCAGCCCUGAAAAGGCCGGCGUCGGCGGUUCGAUCCCGUCUCUGGCCACCA